rnacentral:rRNA from 1 species
CGUUUGCGACGCCCAACACACAAAACAAGCGGUGAGUGCUUUGGGGUGGGGUGACUGCGUACCUUUUGUAUAAUGGGUCAGCGACUUAUAUUCUGUAGCAAGGUUAACCGUAUAGGGGAGCCGAAGGGAAACCGAGUCUUAACUGGGCGUUAAGUUGCAGGGUAUAGACCCGAAACCCGGUGAUCUAGCCAUGGGCAGGUUGAAGGUUGGGUAACACUAACUGGAGGACCGAACCGACUAAUGUUGAAAAAUUAGCGGAUGACCUGUGGCUGGGGGUGAAAGGCCAAUCAAACCGGGAGAUAGCUGGUUCUCCCCGAAAGCUAUUUAGGUAGCGCCUCGUGAACUCAUCUUCGGGGGUAGAGCACUGUUUCGGCUAGGGGGUCAUCCCGACUUACCAACCCGAUGCAAACUGCGAAUACCGAAGAAUGUUAUCACGGGAGACACACGGCGGGUGCUAACGUCCGUCGUGAAGAGGGAAACAACCCAGACCGCCAGCUAAGGUCCCAAAGUCACAGUUAAGUGGGAAACGAUGUGGGAAGGCUCAGACAGCCAGGAUGUUGGCUUAGAAGCAGCCAUCAUUUAAAGAAAGCGUAAUAGCUCACUGGUCGAGUCGGCCUGCGCGGAAGAUGUAACGGGGCUAAACUGUGCACCGAAGCUGCGGCAGCGACGCUUAUGCGUUGUUGGGUAGGGGAGCGUUCUGUAAGCCUGCGAAGGUGUCCUGUGAGGGAUGCUGGAGGUAUCAGAAGUGCGAAUGCUGACAUAAGUAACGAUAA